GGCUUGUAGCUCAGGUGGUUAGAGCGCACCCCUGAUAAGGGUGAGGUCGGUGGUUCAAGUCCACUCAGGCC
rnacentral:tRNA from 12 species